CCCUUUGGGUGUGACUGCGUACCUUUUGUAUAAUGGGUCAGCGACUUAUAUUCUGUAGCAAGGUUAACCGAAUAGGGGAGCCGGAGGGAAACCGAGUCUUAAUUGGGCGUUAAGUUGCAGGGUAUAGACCCGAAACCCGGUGAUCUAGCCAUGGGCAGGUUGAAGGUUGGGUAACACUAACUGGAGGACCGAACCGACUAAUGUUGAAAAAUUAGCGGAUGACCUGUGGCUGGGGGUGAAAGGCCAAUCAAACCGGGAGAUAGCUGGUUCUCCCCGAAAGCUAUUUAGGUAGCGCCUCGUGAAUUCAUCUCCGGGGGUAGAGCACUGUUUCGGCUAGGGGGCCAUCCCGGCUUACCAACCCGAUGCAAACUGCGAAUACCGGAGAAUGUUAUCACGGGAGACACACGGCGGGUGCUAACGUCCGUCGUGAAGAGGGAAACAACCCAGACCGCCAGCUAAGGUCCCAAAGUCAUGGUUAAGUGGGAAACGAUGUGGGAAGGCCCAGACAGCCAGGAUGUUGGCUUAGAAGCAGCCAUCAUUUAAAGAAAGCGUAAUAGCUCACUGGUCGAGUCGGCCUGCGCGGAAGAUGUAACGGGGCUAAACCAUGCACCGAAGCUGCGGCAGCGACACUGUGUGUUGUUGGGUAGGGGAGCGUUCUGUAAGCCUGUGAAGGUGUGUCGUGAGGCAUGCUGGAGGUAUCAGAAGUGCGAAUGCUGACAUAAGUAACGAUAAAGCGGGUGAAAAGCCCGCUCGCCGGAAGACCAAGGGUUCCUGUCCAACGUUAAUCGGGGCAGGGUGAGUCGACCCCUAAGGCGAGGCCGAAAGGCGUAGUCGAUGGGAAACGGGUUAAUAUUCCCGUACUUGGUGUUACUGCGAAGGGGGGACGGAGAAGGCUAUGUUGGCCGGG
rnacentral:rRNA from 1 species